GGGCCCGCACAAGCGGUGGAGCAUGUGGUUUAAUUCGAUGAUACGCGAGGAACCUUACCAGGGCUUAAAUGCAGAACGACAGAGGUGGAAACACCUCCUUCUUCGGACGGUCUGCAAGGUGCUGCAUGGUUGUCGUCAGCUCGUGCUGUGAAGUGUCGGGUUAAGUCCCAUAACGAGCGCAACCCCUAUUUCUAGUUGCCAGCGGUUCGGCCGGGGACUCUAGAGAAACUGCCAGCGUAAGCUGUGAGGAAGGUGGGGAUGACGUCAAAUCAUCACGGCCCUUACGUCCUGGGCCACACACGUGCUACAAUGGUGAGGACAGAGGGACGCUACCAGGUGACUGGAUGCAAA
rnacentral:rRNA from 1 species